GACGAACGCUGGCGGCGUGCUUAACACAUGCAAGUCGAACGAAGUGGCGAACGGGUGAGUAACGCGUAAUCAACCUGCCCUUCAGCGGGGGAUACCAGUUGGAAACGACUGCUAAUACCGCAUACUUACGGAGGUGAUUGCUGGGUAGUAGCUAGUUGGAGGGGUAACGGCCCACCCAGGCGAUGAUCAGUAGCCGGUCUGAGAGGAUGAACGGCGAAAUUGGGACUGCGACACGGCCCAGACUCCUACGGGAGGCAGCAGUGGGGAAUCUUCCGCAAUGGACGAAAGUCUGACGGAGCAACGCCGCGGGAGUGAUGACGGCCUUCGGGUUGUAAAGCUCUGUUAAUCGGGACGCGGUACCGGAAUAGAAAGCCACGGCUAACUACGUGCCAGCAGCCGCGGUAAUAC
rnacentral:rRNA from 1 species